rnacentral:piRNA from 1 species
GACGAAACUGGAAAUCUCAGUGAUCACAAG